AUACACUCAUACACAGCCCAACCGCCCAUACAUCACAAUACAUACACUCACACACUCAUACACUCAUACACAGCCCAACUGCCCAUACAUCACAAUACUUACACUCACACACUCAUACACAGCCCAACUUCCCAUACAUCACAAUACAUACACUCAUACACAGCCCAACCGCCCAUACAUCACAAUACAUACACUCACACACUCAUACACAGCCCAACUACCCAUACAUCACAAUACAUACACUCAUACACAGCCCAACCGCCCAUACAUCACAAUACAUACAACCGCCCAUACAUCACAAUACAUACACUCACACACUCAUACACAGCCCAACCGCCCAUACAUCACAAUACAUACACUCAUACACAGCCCAACCGCCCAUACAUCACAAUACAUACACUCACACACUCAUACACUCACACACUCAUACACAGCCCAACUGCCCAUACAUCACAAUACAUACACACAUACACAGCCCAACCGCCCAUACAUCACAAUACAUACACUCACACACUCAUACACCGCCCAUACAUCACAAUACAUACACUCACACACAGCCCAACCGCCCAUACAUCACAAUACAUACACUCACACACUCAUGCACAGCCCAACUGCCCAUACAUCACAAUACAUACACUCACACACUCAUACACAGCCCAACCGCCCAUACAUCACAAUACAUACACUCAUACACUCACUCAUACACAGCCCAACUGCCCAUACAUCACAAUACAUACACUCACACACUCAUACACAGCCCAACCGCCCAUACAUCACAAUACAUACAUGUGGCGGAACCAACCUCGCCACUAUGCACUGGAGAAGCCUGGUUGCCAGCCCCCUGCCAUGUGACUAUGGCCCCUGGGAUGUAUUGCCCUUUAAAGACAUGAUUGGGGCAUAAUGGAUUACCGCCAGACCGGCACACUCACUACCCGGCCCGACGGC